rnacentral:tRNA from 1 species
GCGGGCGUGGCCGAAUGGUCCAGGCAGCAGCCUUCCAAGCUGAUUACACGAGUUCGAUUCUCGUCUCCCGCUCCA